UCGAAUUUAUAAUAUUAGUAUGGAUUAAUAUGAAUUUCUGCUAUAAGAGGGUGGCCAGUAUUUCUGAAUUGAUGUAAUAUGAAAGACCACCAGGCACUAUCAAAAGUCUUGGGAGAUAUCAAGACUGGUGGCCAAAAUGUAUUUAUCAUCAUCAAGGAGGUAUUUCACAUUUUCUACAGCAUGGUAUAUGGUGUCUUCAGAUGAUCUUUGUUGCUGGAAUCCAUAUUAUGUGUCAUGCAUUAAUGUGUUAUAUUCAACAUACCAGGUUAGUCGGUCAGUUAAUAGACAUUCCAGUACCUUACCAAAGAUGGGCAAUGAGGAUAUAGGUCUGGAUUCAUUUGGCUGACCAGGUUUUGGCACAGAUUAUUUUUGCAAGUUUCCAGUCUUCUGGGAAUAUUCCUUGGGUUAGGCAGCAGUUAUACAUAUUUGUGAGUUGACCGGGGAUCAUUUUCCAGGUGGUCUUUGCAAUUUUUGUGUCUAUUUUGUCUAGUCUAGGAGCUUUUCCUUUUAAUUUAGAGAAGGCAAAGUUCAUUUCUUCAUGCUCAAAAGCUGGGGAGUUGUCAGUUAGGAUUGGUGUGUCCAUCUCCUUUUGCAAAGCCUGCUGCCAUGGUGUAUCAUUUUCCUCACUAUCUUUAAUACGGAAAGAGUCAUCUGCUUUUUCUAGUAUGUUAAAGAGGUUGCUGUUUGAUGUUUUCUCAUCAUUUGUGGUAAGAAUUUGCAUUUUUCUAAGACUGUUCAUACACAAUUUAGUGAGAUAGCCCCACAGAUUUGAAGAUGCCAAAGUGCAGAAUUCUCUCCGGGAAUGUAUUUUAGCAGUUUUAAUUUUUUGUUUGUAUAUUUUUUGAUGUUCAAGAUAUUGUUGUUUUAUUACUGUACGGUUGGACUCUAUUCUUGCAUUUCCACAAGAAUUGUACAUUUACCACUUGCCGAAAAGUAAGAUUUCAAGUUGACAAAGCCUUCUAAUGGCAAGCAAGAACAAGCCUUAUUUGCAAUGAUUGCUGAUAAAUGGUAUAUAUAUAUAUAUAUAUUUUUACAGAAUGUUUGGACAGUCAAUACAGUCUUAAGAAGAAGGAAUUUAAUUUUCCAAACAAAUUAUGAUAUUUGCUCCAUCAGAGGCCAUACCUAUUGUUCUUGAUAGUUAUGUUUUUUUCUUGGAGACACUUUUUAAAUGAAGAGUAUAGCAUUUCUGCAGUACAGUCCUUUGCAUCAAUGAUAAGCAGUUACAGCAAAUCUGUUUUGACAUUUCCUGUUGGUGAAACAUAUUUUAUCAAAAUGCAAAGAAAUUUGGUUUGUGAAAUGUCAGUGAACUCAUCAAGUAGAACAGUCGGUUAUGCUUGCCUUAGAUUAUAAAGGAUCUCUUCAAGUUCCAUCUUUGCAAUUACAUUGUUUACAAUUGCAGUGCAUUUUGUGUGUCAAAGUUCUAUAUUUUUGAUGAUUUGUGUCAGAAGCAAUAUCUUUAAGUAGAGGAACUAGAUGAUCCACUACUUUCAGAGCUACGUUGUUCAGCAAAAAACAUUUGCCAAUUUUAUUUCUGCAAUCUUCACCUUUACUUCUAGGAAAAGUUGUGUCUGCUUUUUGAUGAGAGUUGUCUUGAAAACAAUCUGUGGUGUCUUCUGAACCUGCUUCACAUUAUUGAUGUGUUUAACACUUUUGGUGUGCUUUUUUCACUUUUUCCAACAUUAAGGUCUUGUUACAAGCAACACAAAUUUUCACAUUGGUUAGCAAUUAAAAAUAUAAUAAACUUUAAAUACCAGAGAAGUUUGCCCAUUUUUCAGAUUUUAUUUAAGUAGGUGCAAUGAUGAGAUACAUCUUUCGGGACCUAUAAAUAAUGCAGACAAAUUCCCAAUGUAUUCUGAGCACCUAACAUUAUCAUAUUAUAUAUCAAUAACAAUUGAAAAUAUCAAUUAUUUUGAUAAUUUUAUAUAAAUUUUAACUGUUUCAGGUUGUUUCACUAUUAGUGAUUGAAAGUUCCAGUAUUUCUAUUUCACACUGAACCUACUUUUUACAAAAGUAAUGGUAAGUGUUAAUUUUAAUUGUAUAUUGAUUAUAAUGUAGGUAUAGUGAUGACAUCUUUCGGGACCUAUAAACAAUGCAGGAAAAUUAAUCCCAACGUGUACUGAGCACCACGUAUUAUAUGAAUAACAAUUGAAAAUAAUUAUUUUGAUAAUUUUUAUAAUAAAUUUUUAACCGUUUUAGGUUUUUAUCAAUAAUACUUGAACAAUCUUGAAUAUGUACUGUGCCAGUGAACCUAGUUUUUGUAAAAAGUAAUGGUUUUUAUCAAUAAUACUUGAACAAUCUUGAAUAUGUACUGUGCCAGUGAACCUAGUUUUUGUAAAAAGUAAUGGUAAGUGUUAAUUUUAAUUAUAUGUUAUGGACUGAGUGAUUAAUACGGGCAUUAUGAAUAAUGACAAACAAAAUUGGGCACUGUAAUAAAUAUCAGGUGUUUUAACAUAAUUUAUCAAAUUGACCAGUCAUGAAUACUGCUAUCACCUAGUGAGGCAAAGUGAUGAUAAUACGUUGAGGAGUGAUCACUCAAUAUAUGCUAGCCAUGUAAAGUACUAUAUUAUU